GGAUUAGAUACCCUGGUAGUCCACGCCGUAAACGAUGAGAACUUGCUGUCAGGCCUUUUAAGGCUUGGUAGCGGAGCUAACGCGUUAAGUUCUCCGCCUGGGGAGUACGGCCGCAAGGCUAAAACUCAAAAGAAUUGACGGGGGCCCGCACAAGCGGUGGAGCAUGUGGUUUAAUUCGAUGCAACGCGAAAAACCUUACCUACCCUUGAAUCCUCGGAAGAGCCCAGAGAUGGACUCGUGCCUUCGGGAACCGAGUGACAGGUGCUGCAUGGCUGUCGUCAGCUCGUGCCG
rnacentral:rRNA from 1 species